AUGCUAGGGAAAAAUGUUUCCUUCUUUCAGAUUCGGCUGCCCGACACUCCAGGAGGACGUGGAGGACGGUCAGCCUCUCCCCGCAUCUACCGCAAGUUGGAGGAUCAUUUUCAGGUGCAGUACACCGGAUUCCGAGAAGGACGGACCAAUGGCUGCGUAGGACACCCCGGCAUGCGACUUUGAAGCGUCUGUGUAAAACUCUGUGCACGAGUACUUGUACUGGAGCUCCAAGAAAUGCAUUUUGAUAUGUG